rnacentral:RNase_P_RNA from 1 species
CCAGUUCGAAGGCCACGAAUGCUCAUCUCGUACAGGUUGCUUCGUGCAUCCACAUUUCUGAGUGGGCUAAGGUCUGAGUAUUUCAAUCCCCCUCGAUUGGCUCUAGCGGAGUCCUGCUGUAAUCAGCUGCGCGAUGUACCAGAAAAGCAGCUUCAUUUCAUAUCCCAAAGAUCCUGUUUCGGUGGAGGAGGACGAGAAUCAAAGCUUUGAAAGCGUCGCGGGGAUUAGGCAAACUUGCAUCCAUCAAUUAGCAGUCAGUUGUCGCUAUCGCGCAUGCGUCUAUCAAGAAGACGCUGAAGGGACAGUCACUAUCCAUCCCGAUGUGACCGUGACCCCCCAGGCUGCUUGGUCCCUUGCUGUGGUAGGCCAAUGCUUACACAUCUAGUAGUCUAGAUGUUGGAUCCACUUCUGUUGCACAUUUGGACUGCAGUCUUCGAGGUAUGAUGCAUGGCACUUGUGUCGUGCUUACCUCUUCGGGCGAGCGUGCGUUCGCGCUCGCCGGCUUCCGGCGUAACCGUUGAGCUUCAUGACCUAUCACUUAUGGCAGGAGAUUAGCCGUCUCCUUGCGUAUGAGGCAUGCGACUGAUUGUAUGCGAUGGUACUAGUUUGUCCUUGAGUUCACUUCGUGGCUUGCGUGUCCUUCGUGGAUCGUGAAACUCGAUUCAGACUACUCUUGGACUGG